rnacentral:lncRNA from 1 species
GGCAUCUCCGGGAAAGCUUCUUCCUCCCCUCCCUGGUUCAUUGACUCGCUGUUAAGAGCCCUCUAGCACUUGGCUCCCACCUCUCCUGGGAAACAUCACAUUCUCUUCUGCUGUGUGCCAUUGAGAAGAUAAGCUUUGGGCCAGGCGUGGUGACUCACGCCUGUAAUCCCAACACUUUGGGUGGCCGACGCAGGUGGAUCACUUGAAGUCAGGAGUUGGAGACCAGCCUGGCCAACAUGGCAAAACCCUGUCUCUACUAAAAAUACAAAAAUUAGUUGGGCGUGUUGGCACAUGCCUAUAAUCCCAGUGACUCAGGAGACUGAGGCAUCAGAAUCGCUUGAACCCACGAGGCAGAGGUUGCAGUGAGCCGAGAUCAUGCCACUGCACUCCAGUCUGGGUGACAGAGCGAGACUCUGUCUCAAAAGAGAUAGAGAGAAGAUAUGCCUUAAGUCCAGAGAUAAUCUUGAUGAUCUCUUAUGACGUUGUUUCUGGAACAGAGACUGGUACACAAGGAAUACUUGCUGCUCAGUGAUUGUGAAAUAAACAUUGACUGACUUUGUCCAGUCUUCAUUUAAUCUUCACAACAACCCUAUGAGAAAACUGAAGUACAGCUAGUAAGUGAUGAUGCUGGCAUUCACACUAGGAAGCUUCCUAAGUACUAAGGCAGUUCUCCUAACUGCUGAACUUUCGCUGAGGGCCAGUCCAAUCCUACAAAGGCUUCCCAAGCCAUUCUCUAGCAAGUGCACUGUGAGAACAAAAAAUGAACAAGACCCACUCCUACCCUCCAGAUCUAGUGAGGGAGAAACUCAGAAGUCUCAGAUGGAAGUUGGGGGGUGAUCAAGGAAGAUUGCACAAUGGAGAUGGCAUUUGAAUCAGUCCUUGAAGAGGUAAAAUGUCAGCAGCUGGAGGGACAUGCAGGAAACAGAAAUGACCUCACCUUGAGCUGAGAUCUGUUCCCUGAGUCAGCCCUUGGCUCCAGAAGCCCCAGUCACCAUUCC